CAGUGAUCCAGAAGCUAUUACACAUAACCAGAGCCAUCCAGAAACUAUAACACAUAACCAGAGCCAUCCAGAAACUAUUACGCAUAACCAGAGCCAUCCAGAAACUAUUACACAUAACCAGAGCAAUCCAGAAACUAUAACACAUAACCACAGUGAUCCAGAAGCUAUUACACAUAACCAGAGCAAUCCAGAAACUAUAACACAUAACCAGAGCCAUCCAGAAACUAUUACACAUAACCAGAGCCAUCAAGAAACUAUUACACAUAACCAGAGCCAUCCAG